GAUGAACGCUGGCGGCGUGCCUAAUACAUGCAAGUCGAGCGAACAGACGAGGCGCUUGCUCCUCUGACGUUAGCGGCGGACGGGUGAGUAACACGUGGAUAACAUACCUAUAAGACUGGGAUAACUUCGGGAAACCGGAGCUAAUACCGGCUAAUCUAUUCAACCGCAUGGUUCAAUAGUGAAAGACGGUUUUGCUGUCAAUUAUAGCUGGAUCCGCUCGGCAUUAGCUAGUUGGUAAGGUAACGGCUUACCAAGGCAACGAUGCGUAGCCGACCUGAGAGGGUGAUCGGCCACACUGGAACUGAGACACGGUCCAGACUCCUACGGGAGGCAGCAGUAGGGAAUCUUCCGCAAUGGGCGAAAGCCUGACGGAGCAACGCCGCGUGAAUGAUGAAGGUCUUCGGAUCGUAAAACUCUGUUAGUAGGGAAGAACAAAGGUGUAAGUAACUAUGCACGUCUUGACGGUACCUAAUCAGAAAGCCACGGCUAACUACGUG
rnacentral:rRNA from 1 species